CUCACAUUGUGUAAAUAACACACACGUAUCGGCACAUCCGCCGGGGUGCUUUGCGGUGACCCGUCACCCCAAAGUCGGCGUUAUGGGAUACGUGGAGGCAUAAC
rfam:Serratia symbiotica str. Tucson genomic scaffold scaffold00332, whole genome shotgun sequence.